GACGAACGCUGGCGGCGUGCUUAACACAUGCAAGUCGAACGGAAAGGCCCUGCUUUUGUGGGGUGCUCGAGUGGCGAACGGGUGAGUAACACGUGAGUAACCUGCCCUUGACUUUGGGAUAACUUCAGGAAACUGGGGCUAAUACCGGAUAGGAGCUCCUGCUGCAUGGUGGGGGUUGGAAAGUUUCGGCGGUUGGGGAUGGACUCGCGGCUUAUCAGCUUGUUGGUGGGGUAGUGGCUUACCAAGGCUUUGACGGGUAGCCGGCCUGAGAGGGUGACCGGCCACAUUGGGACUGAGAUACGGCCCGGACUCCUACGGGAGGCAGCAGUGGGGAAUAUUGCACAAUGGGCGGAAGCCUGAUGCAGCAACGCCGCGUGCGGGAUGACGGCCUUCGGGUUGUAAACCGCUUUCGCCUGUGACGAAGCGUGAGUGACGGUAAUGGGUAAAGAAGCACCGGCUAACUACGUGCCAGCAGCCGCGGUGAUACGUAGGGUGCGAGCGUUGUCCGGAUUUAUUGGGCGUAAAGGGCUCGUAGGUGGUUGAUCGCGUCGGAAGUGUAAUCUUGGGGCUUAACCCUGAGCGUGCUUUCGAUACGGGUUGACUUGAGGAAGGUAGGGGAGAAUGGAAUUCCUGGUGGAGCGGUGGAAUGCGCAGAUAUCAGGAGGAACACCAGUGGCGAAGGCGGUUCUCUGGGCCUUUCCUGACGCUGAGGAGCGAAAGCGUGGGGAGCGAACAGGCUUAGAUACCCUGGUAGUCCACGCUGUAAACGGUGGGUACUAGGUGUGGGGUCCAUUCCACGGGUUCCGUGCCGUAGCUAACGCUUUAAGUACCCCGCCUGGGGAGUACGGCCGCAAGGCUAAAACUCAAAGGAAUUGACGGGGCCCCGCACAAGCGGCGGAGCAUGCGGAUUAAUUCGAUGCAACGCGUAGAACCUUACCUGGGUUUGACAUGGAUCGGGAGUGCUCAGAGAUGGGUGUGCCUCUUUUGGGGUCGGUUCACAGGUGGUGCAUGCCUGUCGUCAGCUCGUGUCGUGAGAUGUUGGGUUAAGUCCCGCAACGAGCGCAACCCUUGUUCACUGUUGCCAGCACGUUAUGGUGGGGACUCAGUGGAGACCGCCGGGGUCAACUCGGAGGAAGGUGGGGAUGACGUCAAGUCAUCAUGCCCCUUAUGUCCAGGGCUUCACGCAUGCUACAAUGGCUGGUACAGAGAGUGGCGAGCCUGUGAGGGUGAGCGAAUCUCGGAAAGCCGGUCUCAGUUCGGAUUGGGGUCUGCAACUCGACCUCAUGAAGUCGGAGUCGCUAGUAAUCGCAGAUCAGCAACGCUGCGGUGAAUACGUUCCCGGG
rnacentral:rRNA from 1 species